rnacentral:rRNA from 1 species
CGACCGGCGCACGGGUGAGUAACGCGUAUGUAAUCUACCUGUAACAGAGGGAUAACCCGGAGAAAUCCGGACUAAUACCUCAUAGCACAUAUUAUUCGCACGAAUUUUAUGUUAAAGAGACUCGGUUACAGAUGAACAUGCGUUCCAUUAGCUAGUUGGCGGGGUUACGGCCCACCAAGGCAACGAUGGAUAGGGGUUCUGAGAGGAAGGUCCCCCACACUGGUACUGAGACACGGACCAG